CACAAAUUACAUUGCCUCUGAUUUAUUGAGGAAGUACAUUGCAGCAGAAAGGAAGACAGUGAAGCAGAACAGGGAAGGACAAAGAGCUAAGGAAGAAUGUGUUCUCAGGUAUAAUGGAGGCCCAGUAAUCUGCAUUUCUAACAAGUUGCUGGCUGCUGCUGCUGCCUCAGUAAGAAUACAUGGAGAAACCUGCUCUACAGCAUGCAUCUUGAGGCCUUAUAAUGCAAAGCUCAAUUCAUCUGCAGAGAAAGAAGGUGGGGAUUCAGAACAGAAACUAUGAAGAAAAAAAAAAAGAGUUUCAUGUAUUUGUACCUUUUGGUAAAUGAAACAUGUUAAAUGAUACAAAUGAGAAGUACUCUACUAAAAAAAUUCCCAGGUGAAAGAGAAGGCAGGAGAAUUUGAGGUACAGUCUGUUGGGCUCUGAGGUGAGGAGAUGCCAACUAAAACAUUGCUUUUUUAAUACGUAAGUUCAUAUGCCCUCUGAUUUGUCAUUUUCCAAAUUUUUCUCUCUUACUUUUUAUGAGAUCUCCUCAUCUUUCUAGGUUUAUCAUUAAUACACUUUGCUUUAGAGAAUGGUAACUGAGUCACAACAUCUAGGAGACUUCUAAUAAAUAAGUAAGAUUUGAAAUUAAGGUAAAGUUUAAAGCAUAAGAACAUAAAAAUGGCACCUACUUUUAUUUUCUAGCAUUUAGUUUAUCACAGCUUUACUAAGUAAUGUUCCUUGAAAUAAGCUAUAUCAAUUUACAGAUAUUAUUAAAAAUGCACAGAAAAUAAAUGAAUACUAAUAUCCAAGCAUGUGAAUUAAAUAACUCAAACUGAAACCUUGGCAAU